rnacentral:rRNA from 1 species
UACGUAGGGGGCGAGCGUUUGUCCGGAGUUACUGGGCGUAAAGCGCACGCAGGCGGUGCUGCGCGUUUUGGGGUUACAGCUCCCGGCUCAACCGGGAGAGCGCCUCGAAGACGGCAGCACUUGAGGGCCAGAGAGGGACACGGAACUCCGGGUGGAGUGGUGAAAUGCGUAGAUAUCCGGAAGAACACCAAAGGCGAAGGCAGUGUCCUGGCUGGUACCUGACGCUCAGGUGCGAAAGCUAGGGGAGCGAACAGG